AGGGCUAUAGCUCAGUUAGGUAGAGCACCUCGUUUACACUUGAUAAUAAUCAGUUUGAUUUGUUUUACCGAGAAGGUCUACGGUUCGAGUCCGUAUAGCCCUAAUAUUCCUACAGAUACUAAUA
rnacentral:tRNA from 1 species